CCACACCAUGCAACACAUCGUCACGUCGACGUUUUGAAUGUCAGUCUGCCUGCUCUUUAUGUCGCUUUUCUACUGCGCAUACUGCGGGAUCUGGCAUAUUUGUAUGAGAACAAAAAUAUUCCAUGUGAUGCACAAAGUUUGAGGUUCCAAGUACAUUUAAAAUUCAAAUCUCAACAUUGUGAAAUAAUUUACAUAUCGGCAAAUUUAACAUCGAAUCUGCUCCCUUCAGCUAUAUUUUUUCAAACACAUUUCAAAAGAAGGUAUAUAAUGGGAUAUGAAGGAUAAAUGGAAAAAAAGAAGAGAAAUUAAAAUAAAAAUUAUAGAAAAUGCGACUGUAGAAAGCAGAUUGUACUAGUACGUGA